rnacentral:rRNA from 1 species
ACUCCUACGGGAGGCAGCAGUGGGAAGUAUUGCACAAUGGGCGCAAGCCUGAUGCAGCCAUGCCGCGUGUAUGAAGAAGGCCUUCGGGUUGUAAAGUACUUUCAGCAGUGAGGAAGGUGGGUAUGUUAAUAGCAUACUCAUUUGACGUUAGCUGCAGAAGAAGCACCGGCUAACUCCGUGCCAGCAGCCGCGGUAAUACGGAGGGUGCGAGCGUUAAUCGGAAUUACUGGGCGUAAAGCGCAUGCAGGUGGUUUGUUAAGUCAGAUGUGAAAGCCCGGGGCUCAACCUCGGAAUUGCAUUUGAAACUGGCAAACUAGAGUACUGUAGAGGGGGGUAGAAUUUCAGGUGUAGCGGUGAAAUGCGUAGAGAUCUGAAGGAAUACCGGUGGCGAAGGCGGCCCCCUGGACAGAUACUGACACUCAGAUGCGAAAGCGUGGGGAGCAAACAGGAUUAGAUACCCCUGGUAGGCGUAG